AUUGAACGCUGGCGGAAUGCUUUACACAUGCAAGUCGAACGGCAGCACGGGAGCUUGCUCCUGGUGGCGAGUGGCGAACGGGUGAGUAACAUAUCGGAACGUACCCAGUCGUGGGGGAUAACUAUCCGAAAGGAUAGCUAAUACCGCAUACGUCCUGAGGGAGAAAGCGGGGGAUCGCAAGACCUCGCGCGAUUGGAGCGGCCGAUAUCGGAUUAGCUAGUUGGUGGGGUAAAGGCUCACCAAGGCGACGAUCCGUAGCGGGUCUGAGAGGACGACCCGCCACACUGGAACUGAGACACGGUCCAGACUCCUACGGGAGGCAGCAGUGGGGAAUUUUGGACAAAGGGGGCAACCCUGAUCCAGCCAUUCCGCGUGAGUGAAGAAGGCCUUCGGGUUGUAAAGCUCUUUCAGCAGGAACGAAACGGUCGGCUUUAAUAAAGUCGGCUAAUGACGGUACCUGCAGAAGAAGCACCGGCUAACUACGUG
rnacentral:rRNA from 1 species